rnacentral:rRNA from 1 species
GUCUACAGCGAUGCCACCCUGAACAAGCCCGAUCCCGUCUGAUCUCGGAAGCUAAGCAAGGUCAGGCCUGGUUAGUACUUGGAUGGGAGACCACCUAGGAAGACUAUGUGCUGUAGGAG